UACGGAGGGUGCAAGCGUUAUCCGGAUUCACUGGGGUUAAAGGGUGCGUAGGCGGACAGGUAAGUCAGUGGUGAAAUCUCCGAGCUUAACUCGGAAACUGCCGUUGAUACUAUUUGUCUUGAAUAUUGUGGAGGUAAGCGGAAUAUGUCAUGUAGCGGUGAAAUGCUUAGAUAUGACAUAGAACACCAAUUGCGAAGGCAGCUUACUACACAAUGAUUGACGCUGAGGCACGAAAGCGUGGGGAUCAAACAGG
rnacentral:rRNA from 1 species